CAACCUGAGCUCAGACGUGAUUACCCGCUGAACUUAAGCAUAUCACUUAGCGGAGGAAAAGAAACUAACUAGGAUUCCCACAGUAACGGCGAGUGAACUGGGAAAAGCCCAGCGCUAAAUCUUUCGAUGUUACAUCGUAAAGAAAUGUAGCGUAUAGGUGUAGUUAUCGGUUUGCUUGGCAUAUCCAAAGUUCCUUUGAUAGGGGCCAUAUUCCAGAGAGGGUGCGAGACCUGUGCGGAUAGCGGAACAUGCCGUAUGAUUAUACCUUGGAGUCGGGUUGCUUGAAAGUGCAGCCUUAAGUGGGUGAUAAACUUCAUCUAAGGCUAAAUACAGACGCGAAUUCGAUAGCAAACAAGUACUGUGAAGGAAAGUUGCAAAGAACUUUGAAGAGAGAGUUCAAGAGAACGUGAAAUCGUUGAAGUGGAACCGGAGAGAGUUGACGUAGUAUGGUGGAUAAGUAUUGCAAGAGUCGCUUCAAACCAUGAAUGUGAUCGAGUAAUAUGUACGUCACCAAAGACUGCGCUGACAGCAUCGACUACACGCUCUGAACUGUGUCGACAUGUUGCCUACUCUAGUAUAUAGAGUGGUGUCUUGUGUUACGUGGUGAAGUUUGUUGUUAUGUUGUUGAUGUUGAUAAGUAUGAUUAUACAUCGAGUAUAAUUAUGUCAGUGUAAAAGUCAACCACCUCUCC
rnacentral:rRNA from 1 species